GCCGCUGCGCUCUGGAAGCGAAGGACGGCGGAGCGAGCGCGCCACGGCGAGCGCGGGCCGUGGGAAGCUGCUCGGCGGGUCGCGCGCUCUCUCGCCUGGCGAUGGCGGCUUGGCUAGCUUUCGCAAUGCCUGGCAGAGCCGGACUGCCCACCCAUGUUGCAGCGAGGCGAGCGCGCGCGCAGUGGUCCUGCUUUUUCCUUCUCAUCGUCUACUGCGGAACAGCAUCUUAUUCAAGGGCAUCGACUUGACUAAGUACCUUUUGAGAAAUCUUGGAAAUGAAGUCUCCAUGAUGAGCAGAGAUGCGGGCACAUUGGAGUGAUGUCUGCUGAAGGUUUCCCCAGCACUAUCGGGAUUGAAGCAAUUGCCUACGUAAUGUACCACAUAUGGACGUAGAGAUGCCAGCUUCAGAUGCCGCGAUGCAUCUUCAGAUUUUCCACGCAGUAGAUCAGAGAGUAGCGCGGUGAAAUCAAAGGGCCCGUGAUCUCGAUGCUUCCUCUCUCCAUUUCGCAUGCUGAAAUAUUAAUAAAGUAGAAAAUCAAAGGAGAGCAAUUUAGGGAUUCUCGUGUCCUCUGAUUGCAGCUCGUUUCUGUGGGUCCAAUUUUAGACAAAGAAGAAAGAACCGUAAUGGAAAGGAGCGUGGCGAGGGAAACAAGAAUGACAAAGGAACAGAAGCGAAAUCAAAGGGUCGGCGUCCAAACACUUUGUCUCUGUAAGGCAUUGUUCAAGCCCUCCCUCUCCCAGCAUCUCUAGCGGUGGCUGGGCAACGCUGUCAGGAACUGGCAGCCUCCAAGCAUUGCAGUGUGCAGCUCGCACUGUUUAUUGCCAGCUGGAUGACAGCUUCAGUUUGGAACACUCUGGUUCGAGAUGACUUUUCUGGGCUGUCUCAGAGUCAACUUCCUCGGGGGUACCAUAGAGUUUCUUCUUCUUCCUGCAUUCUCUGGGACCCUCUCAGUCAACGAGACUGCCUUCUCCCUAGAAACCAGCCAUGAGACUGCAGAAGGAAAGCAAAAACAAACAAACAAACAAACAAACAAGUCUUUUUAGUCCCUACUGGCAAGGGCACGGUGGUGUGACACUCCUGCAGUAAGAACAUGGCAAAGUCUUCUUGGAGCUGGAAUGUAGAAAGAGGCGAGACAGAGAGAAUGGAAAUGCUCACUGGAGGCUGAAGGGCAGCCCUGGAUUAAUGAAUUUCCUUGGUGCCAGUAACAGAGCUCUGGGUCAAACGGUGUGCAAGAGACUUGAUUGACUCCUGCAACCUUCAGAAUUAAAAGCACGCGCAUGCAGGUCAAUUGUACAAUGGUGUUGGGUUCUUUCUCUGUUUGUGGGCUGACUGUUCCCUGUGCUGGUUUAUUCUCAAGCAGGCUCCCCCACUUAGACUGAACAUGACAGGAGCAGCACCAAAUGACCUUCCAACUAGUCUCCACAUCUCUUCUAAAGGCAUUCACCUACCCAGUAGCUCCCGGCACCAUCUCAGAACCCAGCUGAGAUCAUGGGAAUAGCAAUGGGUGUGGUUAGGAUUUUCUAAAGAGAACUGAGCCUUCGCUGCCAGAGGAGGAGAGGGUGAAACCCCAACAUCAUCACUUUUCUGUUGGCCCUUGGGUCAAUCCUUUGGUUUGUUUCGAAGCAGAUGUUUCACAGGGCCAUCCCCGCAGCUAGUGGCUCCUUUACACAGGGCCCAGACUGCAGUGUCUCCUCUGGAAAACAUCUAAUUCCAUCUCAGUUCACACAAGCACUUGAGAGCUACUCCACUCUGAAGUUCCAAUAGGUCAUCGGCAGACGUGGUAAGUUCUUCUGAGCGUGCUGACACAGGGACUUGAAUGCUCACGAUGAACCAAGCAGCAUCCCUCUACAGGGCCAAGAGAGAGCAAGGAUGUUCAGGCAAGCUUCCCUACAGAGACUCGCAGCUAGUGGGAGAAGCAUCCCAAUCUUUUUUUUUCUUUUUCUGUAGAGGUAGCACCUUCAUUUUUCUGAGCACUUUCCCAUUUCUCCCCCACUUUGCUGAGAGUAUAAGAACUGGUUAAAGGUUCCCAGGAACCCUUUUCUGAUAUCAGGGUUUAUGAAUGUGUUAUGAUGGGAUUGAGUAUUUGGCCUCUAUUGGCCUGUGGACAAAGAUGGUGCACACUGUCAAAUCAAAUUACACUCAUGUUAUUGAAGCAAUCGCCUGUAGUAUUGAUUACAAUGGUGCCUAUUCUAUGUGAAAAAUGAAUUGUGUGUACAACACGUUGAUUUAUCCUACCUAUUAAUCUGUGAGGAUAUGAUCUCUUAAAAUAAUUCCACAAACUGCUUCUAUAACUUUAA